AUCAGGUUAUUUUACUAAAUAUGAUGAUGGAGUAGAAGUUGUGAAACAGCAAGUGGACCAGGCACAUGGAGCAGAUCAAAUCAGCGCCAUCGUCCACACAGAUUUUAGCCUGUUAUAUGCAGUGAUCAAAGAGAGAGGAAGAAAGUGACUUUUCACACAGCUCAAUGUGCCAGAAGCCAGUACAAGCAUCUGCUUAUGUGGGACUCUGAGAGCCGGAGCUCCAGCUCGGAGUAAACAUGAUUGCGAGGCUCCAGCCCGACUUACCCAGAACUGUCUGACAGCACAGGGAGGAUAUUGAUUCAAAUUGGACUCAAGCGAGGUCAGAUGUGACAAUAACAAGUCAGACUGGUUUGAACCCGAGGCUCAGCACCCGUGGAAAUGUAUUUAAUUAAUCUCUAUCAGUAUGUCCUUUAUUUAAUAUUUACAGGAAGGAAAACUGCAAUACC